rnacentral:tRNA from 1 species
CUCCCCGUAGCAUAACUGGAUAAUGCAACAGCCUUCUAAGCUGUAGAUUGCUGGUUCGAGCCCAGCCGGGGAGA